AUUCUUAUAGUUUAAAACAAAACAUAAUUUUUUCAAAAUUAAAAAAAAUAAAUAUAUUUUAAGAAUA
rnacentral:tRNA from 1 species